rnacentral:rRNA from 1 species
CACGUAGGGGGCAAGCGUUGUCCGGAUUCAUUGGGCGUAAAGGGUGCGUAGGCGGCGCGGUAAGUCGGGUGUGAAAUCUUGGAGCUUAACUCCGAAACUGCAUUCGAUACUGCGGUGCUUGAGGACUGGAGAGGAGACUGGAAUUCAUGGUGUAGCAGUGAAAUGCGUAGAGAUCAUGAGGAAGACCAGUGGCGAAGGCGGGUCUCUGGACAGUUCCUGACACUGAGACACGAAGGCCAGGGGAGCAAACGGG